GAGGUUGAAAGAUACACACAUUUUCAAAUGCAUUGUGCAAUGAAGAUUGUUUUGCAUGAUAAGAAUAUGGUGAAAGACAAACUAAUCAAAAGAGUUGAAGACUGGGAAUCAAAGAAAGUACAAGCUAAAAGGAAUGUAUUAGCAGCAGAAGAGGAAAAAGAUGACUGAAGUUGAAAUGCAUACAAGCUUGAAAGGUGGUGAAGGAGAUAAAUGGAAGCGGUGAAAGGAGAUAAAGCGUCAAAUGAAGAUUUUUUUUGUGAUUAUAAUAUAACAAUAUAUUGGAAAAAAUAGUAAAUAUCAUAUAGGCAGUUGACUUGGUUAACUUAGGUUAUUGUAAGUACUAUUAUUAAAAAGUAGCCUGACUAGAGCUGUGACUAGAGCUAUCUGCUACCUAAAUAUAUUUUGUUUACUAAAGAAGAUAAUGAGUUUACUUUGAAAUUAAUCCAGUUUACU